rnacentral:tRNA from 5 species
GUAGACGAAGUCUAGAGCUACGCCCUAGACUAUUCCAUCCUUCGGAGGAAUUAGCAAGCUCUAGACUUCGUCU